CCAAUCACAUCUCAUAAUCUGAAACCAACAUCAAACACAACACAAACAACGAAGAUUCAAACCAAACACACAAUAAAUAAAUCAUCCACACCAACAACAUCAAUAAAAAGUCAAAAUAAAUUAAAGAUUUGGUUAGAAGAAAUGGACCUUGACGAAACUAAUCCUUGUCGAUAAUAAAGAAAUUCGAAGACCAAAAUACUCGAUCGGAGAACCUCACAACGAACAAACCAAACUCGAUAUUAAAAUAAU
rnacentral:lncRNA from 1 species